GUAGGAGGCGAGCGUUGUCCGGAAUUACUGGGCGUAAAGCGCGUGUAGGCGGUCUGAAUAGUCUGCUGUGAAAGCGCCUGGCUUAACCGGGCGAGGUCGGCGGAAACUCUCAGACUGGAGGCCGGUAGAGGGGGGUGGAAUUCCCGGUGUAGUGGUGAAAUGCGUAGAGAUCGGGAGGAACACCUGUGGCGAAGGCGGCCCCCUGGGCCGCGCCUGACGCUGAGACGCGAAGGCUAGGGGAGCGAACGGGAUUAGAUACCCCGGUAGUCCUAGCAGUAAACGAUGUGUACUAGGUGUGGGGGGUAUCGAGCCCCUCCGUGCCGCAGCUAACGCAAUAAGUACACCGCCUGGGGAGUACGGCCGCAAGGUUA
rnacentral:rRNA from 1 species